AACGAACGCUGGCGGCAGGCUUAACACAUGCAAGUCGAGCGCCCCGCAAGGGGAGCGGCAGGCGGGUGAGUAACGCGUGGGAACGUACCUUUUGGUUCGGAACAACUCCGGGAAACUGGAGCUAAUACCGGAUAAGCCCUAACGGGGAAAGAUUUAUCGCCGAAAGAUCGGCCCGCGUCUGAUUAGCUAGUUGGUGAGGUAACGGCUCACCAAGGCGACGAUCAGUAGCUGGUCUGAGAGGAUGAUCAGCCACACUGGGACUGAGACACGGCCCAGACUCCCACGGGAGGCAGCAGUGGGGAAUAUUGGACAAUGGGCGCAAGCCUGAGCCAGCCAUGCCGCGUGAGUGAUGAAGGCCUUAGGGUUGUAAAGCUCUUUUGUCCGGGAAGAUAAUGACUGUACCGGAAGAAUAAGCCCCGGCUAACUUCGUG
rnacentral:rRNA from 1 species